rnacentral:rRNA from 1 species
GACGGGGGAUGCAAGCGUUAUCCGGAAUCACUGGGCGUAAAGCGUCUGUAGGUGGUGAUGCAAGUCACUGGUGCAAAACUCUGGCUCAACCGGAGGAAAGCCAGUGAAACUGCAUGACUAGAGUGUGGGAGAGGUAGAAGGAAUUCCCUGAGUAGCGGUGAAAUGCGUGGAUACAGGGAAGAACGCCGGAGGCGAAAGCGUUCUACUGGAACACAACUGACACUGAGAGAAGAAAGCUAGGGGAGCGAAUGGG